UCCAGCAUAAAUAUAUUUGACAGCUCAUGGAGAGAUAACUUGCUGCUAUUAAUCCUGCUGGCUAAUAACAGCAUAAAUUUACCCUGCAUGGAGUCCUCCUUCUAAGGUGAAGAACUUGAAAGGAUCACAGAGGAAUUAAUUUAUGAGAGCUGAUGGAGUGGAAAGCAUCUCAGCAGAGUCAGCUUGUGUUUGCUGAACUCAGGCUAACAUCACCGAUCGACUUUUUCCACAUACUGAACUGGGCAAAAAAGGAUGAGAGUAGAAAAUCACCUUGUGUGCUUCUGAGCGGCCUGCAAAGACUAGACUGAAGCAAUGGCUGACCCCGAAACAUCAAUAUCUGCCAGCAAACCCGGGUGAGGAGUUUUUGUUGGAAGAAACAAGGCCGUCAUUCCCGUUGGGAAUUAGCGCUGCGCGGAGCCGCGUUCCGGAGCGUGGUGGAACCCCAGCGGGGAGCGGCUGCGGAGCUGGGGAGGGUGCACAACCAGCAGCUGGGGAUCAGCUUGACUCACAGGAGCUGCCAUGGUGCUAGGAAGGCUGGUGGUGAAUUCACGGAUGUUUUACAAAUAGCAAGCCCAUGGCUGUCCCAGCUGUGGAUAGUCAAGUUGCAAAUAACAGUCUGAGGUUCCAGGCCAGCUCUGCCCAGAGAUAGGAGGCGGUGUGGUGGAUUUCUGCAAUGCUUUCUGCCCACAGGAGUGGGGGAAGGAAGGAGCAGCAGCCUCUGCUCCCCUCCCUGUAGCCCUUGCAGAG
rnacentral:lncRNA from 1 species